rnacentral:rRNA from 1 species
AUUGAACGCUGGCGGCAUGCCUUACACAUGCAAGUCGAACGGCAGCACGGGAGCAAUCCUGGUGGCGAGUGGCGAACGGGUGAGUAAUAUAUCGGAACGUGCCCAGUCGUGGGGGAUAACGCAGCGAAAGCUGUGCUAAUACCGCAUACGAUCUAUGGAUGAAAGCGGGGGAUCGCAAGACCUCGCGCGAUUGGAGCGGCCGAUAUCAGAUUAGCUAGUUGGUGGGGUAAAGGCCCACCAAGGCGACGAUCUGUAGCUGGUCUGAGAGGACGACCAGCCACACUGGAACUGAGACACGGUCCAGACUCCUACGGGAGGCAGCAGUGGGGAAUUUUGCGCAAUGGGGGAAACCCUGACGCAGCGACGCCGCGUGAGCGAUGAAGGCCUUCGGGUCGUAAAGCUCAGUCAUUGGGGAUGAAAAGGACAGUACCCAAAGAGGAAGCCCCGGCUAACUACGUG